UUGUGCAUUUGUGAUCAUAAACGUCAACGUUACACUGCAGAACUGUCUUAAUUCAGUUAAAGCCCUUGUAGUUUAUAGACUGGUAUUAUUAAAAUUGGCAGACUAUAUUACAGUCCAGAACAUGACAUAAGAAACAAGAAAGUUUAUUUAAAUAAACUAUGCACACACAGAGCUUGUUCAAAUCCAGCUUUGUCUCUGAUAAUCUAAAGCCCCCUUUCUUUAAACGUUCAUGAUGUGCAGGCGAUUAUGUAGGAUCCCUACAAAUUAUUUAUUUAUUCAGACCAUGAAUUUUGUGAAAUGACAAUGAUACAUUAACAGUAACAGUACUAUUUGCAGUUACUAUCGAUAUAUCUUUUUCAAUGUAAUUAUUAUAUGAAUCAUAUCAUGUUUCUGAAAAGGAUUUCUUUGUGAGUGUAUUUUCAAUUUUUUUUUUUGUCUUUUGAAUCCAUCAUAUUUCACUGAAGUGUAUUGACAUGUAAAUUGCAUAUACAUGUUCAUUGCAUAUAAUUUUAUACAAUUUGUUGGGCCUUUUCCCUGCUGUUUUUACACUCUUGUUUACCAAAUUUAUUUUUUCAAUUAAUACUUAAGGUAGUGAAUUUGAAUCAGUGCAUGUCGAGACAUUUUAUACAUUCUUUAUUUGUUUUGUAUGAAUAGUCUAACUGCCAUUUUUCAUGUUUUACAAGACUUUGAUGUAUAGCCAAUUUUUUGUUGAUUUAUAUUCUUUACAAAUCAAUAAAGAGCCUUUUCAUAUA